GACGAACGCUGGCGGCGUGCUUAACACAUGCAAGUCGAACGGAAAGGCCCUGCUUUUGUGGGGUGCUCGAGUGGCGAACGGGUGAGUAACACGUGAGUAACCUGCCCUUGACUUUGGGAUAACUUCAGGAAACUGGGGCUAAUACCGGAUAGGAGCUCCUGCUGCAUGGUGGGGGUUGGAAAGUUUCGGCGGUUGGGGAUGGAUUCGCGGCUUAUCAGCUUGUUUGUGGGGUAGUGGCUUUCCAAGGCUUUGACGGGUAGCCGGCCUGAGAGGGUGAACGGCCACAUUGGGACUGAGAGACGGCCCAGACUGCUACGGGAGGCAGCAGUGGGGAAUAUUGCACAAUGGGCGGAAGCCUGAUGCAGCAACGCCGCGUGCGGGAUGACGGCCUUCGGGUUGUAAACCGCUUUCGCCUGUGACGAAGCGUGAGUGACGGUAAUGGGUAAAGAAGCACCGGCUAACUACGUG
rnacentral:rRNA from 1 species